GACGAACGCUGGCGGCGUGCUUAACACAUGCAAGUCGAACGGAAAGGCCCUGCUUUUGUGGGGUGCUCGAGUGGCGAACGGGUGAGUAACACGUGAGUAACCUGCCCUUGACUUUGGGAUAACUUCAGGAAACUGGGGCUAAUACCGGAUAGGAGCUCCUGCUGCAUGGUGGGGGUUGGAAAGUUUCGGCGGUUGGGGAUGGACUCGCGGCUUAUCAGCUUGUUGGUGGGGUAGUGGCUUACCAAGGCUUUGACGGGUAGCCGGCCUGAGGGGGUGACCGGCCACAUUGGGACUGAGAUACGGCCCAGACUCCUACGGGAGGCAGCAGUGGGGAAUAUUGCACAAUGGGCGGAAGCUUGAUGCAGCAACGCCGCGUGCGGGAUGACGGCCUUCGGGUUGUAAACCGCUUUCGCCUGUGACGAAGCGUGAGUGACGGUAAUGGGUAAAGAAGCACCGGCUAACUACGUG
rnacentral:rRNA from 1 species